UACGAGGGGUCCAAGCGUUGCUCGGAAUCAUUGGGCGUAAAGCGGGUGUAGGUGGCUUUAUAAGUCAGGAGUGAAAGCCCUGGGCUCAACCCAGGAAGUGCUUUUGAUACUGUAAAGCUUGAGUGUGGGAGAGGAUCGUGGAAUUCCAGGUGUAGUGGUGAAAUGCGUAGAUAUGUGGAGGAACACCGAUGGCGAAGGCAGCCCCCUGGGCUAACACUGACGCUCAUGCACGAAAGCGUGGGGAGCAAACAGG
rnacentral:rRNA from 1 species